rnacentral:lncRNA from 1 species
CCUGACAAAUCCCUUUGCUGCCACUGACAUUUACUAACUAAAGAAGUUAUUGCCUCGGUUGCCAAGGGAACCGAGGCAUAUAUUUUUGCUCUGCUGCCACACAUUUAUUGACUUACUGCCACACUGUCACGCAUUCACUGACUGAAGAAGCUAUUGCCUCGGUUGCCUGAGGAACCGAGGCAUAUAAGCUGUAUUCCGCUUCGGUUGAGUGCCUAACCGAGGCCUAUAGUGUCAAAUAUUUUGAAUAAUGAAAGCAUCAGGCAUCAGGUUCACUAAGAAUCGAGGUAGUGGCUCUUUCUAGGGGUUUUAUAGUGCAAACAGUUUCUAUGCAAACAAUUUUCUUCUUCGUUUGUACUUUGCUCUCCACCACCAUUGCUUAGUCUCCAACACUGCUUGCGCCUCCCUCGUCGCGUCUCCACUGCCACGUUCGUCGCGCCUCCAUCACUGUGGUCGCCCCUCCUUUGUUGCGUCCGGUCACCACUGCUCGAGUUCUCCACCAUUGCUUGCGUUCUCCACCACUACCCGCGCCUCCCUUGCUGCGCCUCCACCACCACUCAUUCACUCAUUUCUUGUCGUGCCUCCACCGCCCUUGUUGUCGC